rnacentral:rRNA from 1 species
UACGAGGGGGGCAAGCGUUGUUCGGAAUUACUGGGCGUAAAGCGUGCGCAGGCGGUGAGCUGUGUCCGAUGUGAAAGCCCCGGGCUUAACCUGGGAAUGGCAUUGGAAACUGGCUCGCUGGAGUGUGGCAGAGGGGGGUGGAAUUCCGCGUGUAGCAGUGAAAUGCGUAGAGAUGCGGAGGAACACCGAUGGCGAAGGCAGCCCCCUGGGCUAACACUGACGCUCAGGCACGAAAGCGUGGGGAGCAAACAGG